rnacentral:tRNA from 1 species
GGCAGUUUGGCCGAGUGGUCUAAGGCGAUAGACUCGAACUUACGAUAUCUAUUGGGUUCGCCCGCGCAGGUUCGAAUCCUGCAGCUGUCG